GAGCCUCUCUGUGCCACCCCUGAAUCACCUGGAACGAGGGGAAGCUCCCGAAUACCUGACAAGGAAAAUCCAGGUUUGCCAAGCCCAGGUCCUGGCAGGAAGAGGUGGUGAUGGUUUCCCUGGUGUUUGGAGCCGUGUGCCCUCACCUGGAUCAGCAGGAGCCAUCCCAAGGCAGAGAAGAGACCUUCAUCAUCUCCACCAGAACCUCUCCAGGGCCCAAAUUGUGCUGGAAUUCUCCAUUCGUGGUGAUUUGAGGCCGUUUCGUUCCCGCGCCGAUGUUCCAUCCCAGUUUUCCUUUCCAGGGACACCCCGAGCCCUGGGGACCCCUCAACCCUGGGGGACCCCCCAAUCCCUGAGAGUCCCCCAAUCCUGGCAGUUGUUCCCAGUCCCCAAAGACCCCCCCAUUCUUUGGGGUUCCCCAUCCCCGAGGACCCCCCAGGCCCUGGGGAUCCCCCCCAUUCUUAGAAGUCCCCCCAGUUCCUGGGGAUCCCCCAGGACCCCAAUCCCUGCACACCCCCAUCCUUUGGGACCCCUCCCCAUCUUUGGACCCCUCCCCAUCCUUUUGGCCCCUCGCCAUCCUUAAGGACCCCCCAAAUCUUUGAGCCUCCCCUCUUUGGGACCCCUCCUUAUCCUUUGGGCCCCCAAAGCCUUUGAGCCCCCCAUUAUGUGGGACCCCUCCCCAUCUUUGGAGCCCCCAAAUUCUUUGGGCUCCUCCCCAUCUUUGGGACCCCAAUCCUUGGGACCCUCCCCAUUCUCUGGAACUCCCCCAAACUUUUGGGCCCCCCCCCCAUCCUUUGUCCCCCAAAUCCUUUGGGCCCCUCUCCGUCUUUUGAGGCUCCCCCAAAUCUCUGAGGCCUCCAUCCUUGGGACCCCUCCCCAUCCUUUGGGACCCCUCCCCUUCCUUUGGGCCCCCAAAUCCUUUGGGCUCCUCCCCACCUUUGGGACCCCAACCCU
rnacentral:lncRNA from 1 species